CAUUUCAACACUUGCAAAAAAAAAUUGAAGACCUCUCCAUUGAAAGAGGCUCACGGCCAGCCCCUCCCCAAAAUUUACCUCCAUUUCUUGUCCUUCAAAAAUUAUUCCAUUGGUACAAACCCACCAUAUUGAGGUCCCUAAGUAUCGUGGAGGCAUCGUUGGAGCGAUCAACCUAUUAUUUUUCAUCUUUUGAAAACCCUAGGCUAUUGGAAGUAGAAGAGAAAAAGAUCGUGGGCAGCCCGAAGCCUAGUUUGGACUUAGCUUGAGUUGGAUCAUAUUGGAGAGCGUUUGAGGUACAGACGCACAGCCUGGUGAUCCACCGGUUUAGGACACCCCCUUCUGCUAUUCGGAGUGCUCCUCUCAUUCCGGAGCUUAUAUUUUUGGUAUAUAUAUUUGUUAGUGCAUUUAUAUAUAUUCGUUCAUGGGUACGGCGGGGCCCUGUCCCGUCAUAUGAUUCUGUCGGUCUGUUUAGAGGUCUGUGGACAUGUUUGUGGGUUGGGGUCUUUUCUGUACGGAUGCGUGUAUAUGUUGUGUUUGGGCGAUCCCAUUCGCCGCGGCGGCCGGUCCGCAUAUGUUUAAAUGUUGCUUUGUUGGCCCUGUGUGGCCUUUGUUGGUAUUAUCUGUGCGCAGGGUUAAUUUGGAUAGUCUGUAAAACAAAGGAAACUCUGCCGAAAUUUUUCUGGAAAUUAUCUAAAUUUGAAACACCGCCUUGUCGGCUU